rnacentral:lncRNA from 1 species
GCUGAUCCGAAAUGAAGAUCAGAAGCAGAAUGAUAUAUGCUGUAUGCACCGUAUGUAUAAAAAGAGGCAUCACUGGCUCCCUCCGACAGGCCUGCCUUAGUGCCUUGAAGAGAGCCAGAUUUAGAAGAAAUAUUAUUUCAGUUCCCGAGAUGGAAAAAGACUUAGCCAGGAGGCACAGACUCUGGAAAAUCG